UGACGGAAGCACGCCGCGUGAGUGAAGAAGGAUUUCGGUUCGUAAAACUCUGUUGCAAGGGAAGAACAAGUAGCGUAGUAACUGGCGCUACCUUGACGGUACCUUGUUAGAAAGCCACGGCUAACUACGUGCCAGCAGCCGCGGUAAUACGUAGGUGGCAAGCGUUGUCCGGAAUUAUUGGGCGUAAAGCGCGCGCAGGUGGUUCCUUAAGUCUGAUGUGAAAGCCCCCGGCUCAACCGGGGAGGGUCAUUGGAAACUGGGGAACUUGAGUGCAGAAGAGGAUAGUGGAAUUCCAAGUGUAGCGGUGAAAUGCGUAGAGAUUUGGAGGAACACCAGUGGCGAAGGCGACUGUCUGGUCUGUAACUGACACUGAGGCGCGAAAGCGUGGGGAGCAAACAGGAUUAGAUACCCUGGUAGUCCACGCCGUAAACGAUGAGUGCUAAGUGUUGGGGGGUUUCCGCCCCUCAGUGCUGCAGCUAACGCAUUAAGCACUCCGCCUGGGGAGUACGGUCGCAAGACUG
rnacentral:rRNA from 1 species